rnacentral:lncRNA from 1 species
AUGAGAGAUUUAUCUGUGCUUCCAAUAAUCCAUGUUGGGCAGUGCUUGGGCUCUGGAGACAGGAAGUUCAGGAGGGAGGACUGGGCAUGGAGGAAGAUCGGGGGUCCAGUGCUCGUGUGUGAGGACCUCUGGGAUUUCAGAUGCUGGGCAGGAGAUCAGGAGGUGCCAGCUGAUCCCUGUUCUGGCCAGGAGAGCAAAUGUGCAAGGACAUUAGUGAAGCACUUACAGCCCCACCGUGAGGCGCUGCAGCACCCUCAAGCAACGUCGCUUUUGUGCAGGACUUCAUGGUUUGUGGAUCGUUUUUACCACGGUUAUGUCCUCAUGAGCCUGGGGUAUAGGCACGAGUCCCACUUUAUAAAUGAGGACAGGGAAGCUUGGAGAGGUACAGAACGGGGCAAAAGGACCCAGAGGGAGCGAGUGGCAGAACAGCCCUGGGUUUCUGACUCUGGUCUGACAACAUUUGUGUGUGAGGAGACCCCUGAUGUCACCCAGAAAGCGAGCAUUCCUGUCUCAUAGGGUUUAGCCCUCCCUAGGGAUAGAAUGGGUGCUCUAUAAGGAUCAGAAUUGUUGAAUCAGGAUGUGGGUUUUGGAUUCAGACAGAUCUGUAUUCAAGCCAUCUUCUAACUGUGUGCCUUUGGGAAGGCACUUCGAGUCUCUGAUCUUCCAGUUCCUCACCUGUCACAGAUUGAGUGUGCACCUCCUGCUUGGGGCUGCUGUGAGUGUACUGGAGAGAGCAGACAUCACAUGGCGCACUCAACCUGGCACGUAGUAGGCGUCUAAUAAGUGUAGGACUCUUGAGUUCACGACAGUUUAAACACUGGCUUCUACACCCUUUCAUUUCUACACUCCUUUCAUUGGGAUGAAAGAGGAUGAUUGCAAGAACUCAUUUCUAUAUCUCUCCUGGCACACAUUUAUUUUAAAACUCUGUACGUGCCAAGGAGGCAAUGGGACCGCACCCCUCUGAUUCUUUCAUGCCUAAGUCAGCAGGCACUGUGUGCUCAGAGGCCUUGGACUGGCCUCCUCCUCCAUGGCCUUGGCUUUCCUGGUCCUGCAGACGUGGAGGCCUCCUUUGCCCUGACCCAGAUGGACUCCCACACCGAGCUGAAACAAGGGACUUUCCCAAGCUCACCUGACAGAGCGAGCUGAAAGCCCUACUCCUCACCCCUGCAAAGUAUGCCCUAGCUCAGGUUGGUGGCAGUCAGGCAGUGACUCUACAAAUUAUAAGGGCAUCAGUCUCAUUUGGGUUUCUCAAAGCAAUGAUUAAUGUACCCAUUUUACAGAUGGGGAAACUGGGGCCAAGAGAACCAUGUAUUAAACUUUUACAUGCUCCAAAUGUGCCAGGUGUUCUGUUCACUUUCUUUUUAAUCUUCAUGAGGGAUUAGAGAGGUAGAAACUGAGGCUUAGGAAUGUGAAGUGCUUUGUUUUUGUUUUUGUUUGUUUGUUUUUUUUUGACAGGCAGAGUGGACAGUGAGAGAGAGACAGAGAGAAAGGUCUUCCCUUGCCGUUGGUUCACCCUCCAAUGGGCACUGCGGCCAGCGCGCUGCGACCGGCGCACUGCGCUGAUCCGAUGGCAGGAGCCAGGUACUUCUCCUGGUCUCCCGUGGGGUGCAGGGUCCAAGCACUUGGGCCAUCCUCCACUGCACUCCCUGGCCACAGCAGAGAGCUGGCCUGGAAGAGGAGCAACCGGGACAGAAUCCGGUGCCCCGACCGGGACUAGAACCCAGUGUGCCAGCGCUGCAAGGCGGAGGAUUAGCCUAGUGAGCUACGGUGCCCGCCGAAGUGCUUUGUUUAAGAUCACACUAUGUAUUAGUUAGGGUAAGAAUUAAGAUGCUCCCGAGAGACCUCAAAAUUGCAUUAGUAAAAUAAGAUCAAAGCCAGCUGCAGUAUCGUGGGACCCUGUACUGUAGGGGCAUAUAGGUGGAGUGGGUUGGGCGCACAGCUCUGUUCAGUUACUCAGGUAUCCACAUUUCUUCUUAUUCUACUCUUCCUUAGAGUAUUACCUUGUCCGUCUGGUCCAAGUUGUUUCACUGUGUUUCGUCCCAUGGGAAGGGGAAAAGAGGAGACAUGAAAGGCAAACAAUUUCCACUCGCAGUUUGUUGGUAAGAGCAUAGUUGUAACCUAGCUGCAAGAGAGCCUGGGAGACAGAACUCUGAGCUGAGCAACCAUUUGCCUAACCCAGGCUCUGUCACUACUACACAUGAGUGCUAAUCCACAGUGAGUGGAAGAGCUAUUGUUUUCAAAUUUAAUCUAUCUGAGAAGCAGAAAGAGAGAAAGAGAGGGAGAGGGAGAGGGAGAGGGAGAGGGAGAGAGAGAGAGAGAGAGAGAGAGAGAGAGAGAGGGAGAGAACACUCCCAGCUACUAGUUCAUCUCUCAAAUGCCCACAGUGGUCAGGGCUGGGCUGGGCCAAAGCCAAGAACUUAAUCCAGGUCUCCCAUAUGGGAGGCAGAAACAACUUCUUGAGCCAUCAUUACUGCCUCCCAUAGUCUGCAUCAGUAAGAAGCUGAAUUCAGGAGCUAGAGUUGGGAACUAGCAAGUACUCUAUUAUGAGACACAGGCUUAUGAACUGAUCUUUUAACUGCUAAGUCAAACACCCCCCACCCCAGAGCUGCUUUGAAUACAAGUCUCUCUGCUCUUUCCAUCACCCAACAGAUGUUGGGGAAGAAGGUAGCUUUGCUGCCUUGACUUCUGCUCCGCUUUGGCAUUCAGAUCAUCUUGGUCCUGUGGUCCGACACCUGCUGAUAUCAGCACAAGUGAACAUGUAGAAUGUGCUGUCACAUGGCGUUUUUCCUGUGUUCUUUCAUCUAACAGAAUCUCUGUGUAGAAAUCUCCUAAAGGGGGAUCUGAAGAGCUCCGUGACACUGGGCAUGAGGACGUGGCCGGCCAUCUUCUUUCUUCUUCCUUGGAGUUCAGUGCCUGAGGUCCACACACAUCUUGCCACUUUCGGUUGAUGGAGCACAAUCCAGCCAUUACAAAGAAUGGGGAAGAUAUUUGUGGACUGGUAAUGGAAGAAUUGUUUAGCAAUAUUGCUAAGUGGAGAAAGAAAGGGGCAGAACACUGUCCUCAGUGGCUACCAGUGGGUGAGCAUGACCACUUGCUGCUCUUACUGGAGAAGAAUUCUUAAAGGGUAGGCCAGGGGGCCGGGGUUGUGGCGUAGAGGGUAAAGCCACCACCUGUGAUACAGGUAUCUCAUAUGGGCACUGAUUCGUGUUCUGGCUGCUCCACUUCUGAUCCAGCUGCCUGCUAAUGGCCUGGGAAAAAGCAGUGGAAAAUGGCCCAAGUGUUUGGACCCCUGUACCCACAUGGGAGACCUGAAUGAAGAUCCUGGCAUCAGCCUGGGUUAGCCGUAGCUGUUGUGGCCAUCUGGGGAGUGACCCAGCAGAUGGAAGAUCUCUCUCUCUGUCUGUUCCUCUGUCUCUGAAGCUUUGAUUUUCAAAUAAACAAAUAAAUCUUAAAAAAAGGCA